CUUUCAGGGAAUUAUAGAGAGCAAUGAAGUUUUUCCUGAGCCUCCUCUUCUCCAAACAGAACUAUCCCAGUGCAAGCCUCGUGCUCCAGAUCCUUCACCAGCUUCUGGACACACCCUAGCACUUCAAUGUCUUCCUCGCCGUGAGGGGCCUAAACCUGAACACAAUACGCGAGGUAGGAGUUGAUGCAGGGAGUCCUCUGUCGUCCUCUGUCGUCCUAGCGUCUGCUUAUGGCUGCUGCCCUCGGGACGAACCAGCGGGGGCAAAAGAGAGCAGCGGGGCAGAGGAGAGCAGCGCUGUGAGGCGGCCGCCAGGCCGGACAGCGCCGGCGCCCAGCCGCAGGCGGCGCUGCGGCGGGAGGCCGCGGUUGCAGCGCUCGAGCGGCGGAAGAAGCAGCCGCUUCCUUCCUGCGCGGGCUGUUGGAGCCGCUGUGCCGGCAUGGCGUGCGCCUUCCUGCUGGAGAUCCGGCGGGGGACGCAGAGCGCCUUGCUCGUUAUCCGCGAGGCGAGCCUGCGGAACCUGCCGGCCGACAUCUCGGUGGCCCCGGACCGGCUGGAAGUGAGGAGCGGCUCCGCCUGCGGGGCGGCUGCGCUGCCGCCAGGGGUCAGCCUGGCUCCGUCCUCCUGCCGCGGGCUGCGGCGCCUGCACGGGGACGGCCUGCACCUGCGGCUGCGGCUGCGCGAUGUGCCCCGCGCCCCGGAAUUGGUUUAUAAUCUGAGGGAAAGCCUGAAACCACAGAAGAAUUACAUCUUUUACUGCCAGUCCUGUGGUGGCGUCAUAGUAAAAGAACGGAAAUUUCUCAGAGUUCUUCCUCUACCGAGUGAAAACUGGAAUGCUUUAGUAGAAGAGUGGUGUUGUCACCCUAAUCCCUUUGCAAGAAGCACUUUACACCCUCAGCGUGAUGACUGUUUUCUUGGAGAGACUUUUCUCCUGUUGAAUUCAAGAAAUGAAUCAUAUGUGCCUGAAUCUCUCAAGUGCAGCUCAGAGACUGAACAUCACACUUCUCAGAAUGACUCUACCUUGAAAUCAAAGGAAAAUACCAGAGUAAUUUGUGAGCGCUGCAAGACAACGCUGGGAGAAACAGUAUCAUCAGAUACUGUUAAAUACUAUGUCACUGAGGUGAUUAUUUGGCCAGCUGAGGAAUGCUUCAGCACAAUACCAAGGUCUCAAUUCAUACAGAGCAUGGUUGCUCAGUGUCUUGUGGAAUUGUCCUCUGCUAAAAGCACAUUUAGAUUCACUAUAAAAGGUGACAAUGGAAGGAUCUAUAUUCUGAUAUGGCUUUUAAAUUCUGACACGUUGCUGGUGGAAUCCUCAGGAAGUUCCUCUUCCUACAGUGUCUUUACACUGUUUGGUGACAAUUUCAUUCCUAGCUGUGGACCGUCAGGGAUGUGGAAUGCUGUUAAAGUUCUCUACCAGUCGUGCAUUAAGAACAGGAAUAAAGACCUUGCUGAUGCUUGGGAAAAUGAUUUUGGAGUUCAUCCUUUAAAGUUUCCAUCAGAAACAUGUCUGGAAUUACUUCUGAUGCUCAGUUUGAGUACUGCUUCUCUACCCCCUUCACUUCAGCGCAUGAACUCUUUUCAGCACUUCAAACAAUAUAAAUGAUUAAAAGUCUUCACUAGAUGGGGAAAAAAAAGAUGCUUAUAGUAUAGUACUUCCUUACUCUGAAGUUAUUGAUAUGAUGUAAUAUUUUUAUGCUUGGUUUUUACCUCCUGAAAGGCAUGGACUCCUCACCAUUUAGAACAAAUAGCAGAGAUCUUUGGAGAGAGAAAAUGCCAUUGCUUGGAGAUCUGGGAAGGUUGCCUUUCUGAAACUGUGAAGAACUCAGACACCUAUGUGGGAAAACUCUCCUCAAAUUCCCUUCCAUCAGACAUAUACAGAAAUCUUCCAGUGGUGUGACACCUAAAAGAAAAUCUCCUGGCAAUACAAAGCAGAAUAAACUAUGGCAUGCAUUAUUCUUUCUAUCUGGAAGAGAUUCAAAGCCAAAAACAGAGUUAGCUUUUACAUCCAGUACAUUCUUCUGUUGUUAUAAGAGUGACUGCUCACAUCAAGCUGGACUAAGUUAUAUGUAGUCAAUACUACCUUUAUCAGACAGUAUUGGUAGUCCUAAAAAGACAGGCAGCAAAGAGGGGAUCUAAAAUAUUUAAUGUUAUGGAUGCUGAAGUGUGUUCUGUCCUUUCUUUGCUCUAAUAAAGUUAGAAGGCCAAGCUGUCCUUUCUUUGCUCUAAUAAUAAAGUUAGAAGGCCAAGUUUAAAAUGCAAAAUCUAGUUUUUGUUAAACUUGUAUGUUUAUCAUGUUUAUUAUUUCUGCAUUAAUGUAUACCUUCCUUCUUGUGAGUGAAGAAAGACCAUGUUCAUGUUAGUAUACCAUAUGUAAUGUUUUGUGAAACUGAUAAUGUUUUGAAGGUUUUAUGGUUGUUUGAAAUAAUUAUUCCUUCAGCUUCAAAAAAGCGUAUCCCCACGAGGGCUGGCUUUGCAGAAACUGCUGGAAAUGAAAGAUUAUUGUCCAUCUCUGCUCUUUGUGCUUACUUGCCUGUCACAGGAGUGAUGGUGUUUUUUCAUUGGACACAGAAUCUGUUACCAUUUUUGUUUUUGGAGUGAGUUGGAUUUCUUUGACUACCCAGAAUAUGACUGAGCAAUUGCACAGAAAUACUCCAACUUUAAAAUCUUUUCCAGUCUGUUAAAAUGGUUUUGCAAAUAUGGAGCUAUCUUAGGUCACAAAAUAUGUGCUUUUGGGGUUAAGUCUCUGUCACAUCCUGCUUCAUUUGCUACUGUGGCAAUACAGAGUAAAUGUGACAUUAGUAUUGUAUUUGGGAACAAGGAAAAGCCUUCUGGAGAUGAAGAAACAUGCAUCAGUCACAUCCUGCUGUACUCCUGCUGUGCCAGUGCUACAUCUGGCUCAGGAAGCAAAUCCUGAGGGAGCACCAAGCCCAGUAUGUACACCGAGAACACUGAACCUUUUAGGAGCUUGCCUUCUGCCUGCAUAUACUUAAAGCUUCUCUCUUUUUUUUUUUUUUUACCCUUGUGCAUUGGUGUACAGGGUCUGACUGAGAUGGAGUUAACAAGCUUUAUAGCUACCAUGCUGCAGGUUGGAUUUGUGACUCCAACAGUGCAGAUAACGCACUGCUGUUCUGGCUGCUGCCGAGGAGUGCUUGCACAGCACCAAGGCUGGGCCUUUUUAUUUCCCCCUCUGCUCGCACCUUUCCCUCAGUGAACAGACUGCUGUUGAGCAGGAAGCUGGGAGAGACCACAGCAGAGACAGUGGUCUCAGCUGGCCAUAGGAUUUGGGUACAUAUGUAGCUUGCGUAUCCUUAAAGCAUGUAGGCAAACACCAUGCAGAUAGGAAACUGCUCCAGACAGUAGCUGGCUGCCAGCUGUUAUUUUUGGGUUUGUUUUUUUUUUUUUUUUUAAGAAAACAUUUGAUCCUACUUAUUGCUUUUUCUGUUUUCCCCAU